UUGGGAUCCAUCUGGGGAGAAUACUCUACCAAAAGAAAUUCCCUCCACAGAAGAACCCUUGACAGGCUCAGCCUGGGUCUGAAACAGUGAUUCUCAGCUCUGAUAACAGUGGAUUCACCUGAGGUACUUUUAAAGCUAGUCAGGCCCACUCCCACACGAGGUUCGAACAGGCAGCUAGGCUGGAAAAUCACUGGCCUCAAAAGAAAAUGGUGGCCUGUGAAAGCUGAUGUCACCAGGGCACUUAGGAACCCCUCAGAGACAGGGUAACCAGUCUCAGCAGAGUGUACCUAAUACUGCCUAUUAUCCAAGAGUCUUGGUUCCCCGAGCUUCUUGUCUCCUCGGGUGAACGACCCUGGCGACUUUGGUGACCAAGCUUGCCACCACUUGUUAUGUAAUCCAGGCAGGGCAACAUCGUUAUAUCUGCUUGUUUCUCUCUCAUCCUUCUUUGGCUUCUCAAUUUCCUCAGAGUCAGCCGUGGGACACAACACUAACAGGAAGAUAGAGAGUUUCUGAUCCCCAUCCUGAAAUUCCAUGAAGUCUGAUCCAUGAGAAAAUGCAAACGUACUGGAAAAGCGGAGAGCGUGGGGCAGUCAGUCAUUCCUGCCUUCGUACCUGUGGGUUUGCUAACUGGCCAACUCCUGACAGUGAGAAGGGAAGGAGGAAGGGACAGGACCAGGGCAGAGGGAGGGAUGAGCUGACACAUGUGAGAGAAUCAGAAGCUGCGGAGCACAAACCGCCCUGGAAGGAAGGAGACAGAAAGAGAAAGGGCAAGCCCCAGGAGGCCAGAUGAGGCCAAGAUGAGGAUACUGAGGCUUCAAGAGUUUUAUCCGCCCACAAAGUUUGUCUCUUUGCCAGGGCCCCCAAGGUGAAAGAAAACUUGUUGAGGCCCGGAAGCCCACUUGCAUCAUAAUUAGACUGCCUGGCCAAAUGAAAACCACCACCGUCUCUAGGAACAAUUGCCAAGUUUGGGGUACUCGCAAAGCUCUGGGCCAAGGCAGCGUUAGCAGGACCUGCGCUCUCUUCUUGCCUCUGAAUGAAUUUAAAGAGUGAAGACUGAGAACUGCCAGGCUCCGCAACUCUGCCCCUGACUUUGGUUUGGUUUUUACAAGCAAACACGCACACAUAGGCUAUCCUCAGACCUGUGAGCUCAUCAUGAGUGGAGCUCCAUAACCUACCUGCACCAGGGCUGAGCCAGAGCCACCGAACACUGAAUUCCACACUAUGGAAUGUCUUGUCUCAGGAAGUGACAGUGCUACUACAAUAACAAAGAUGGCUCAAUUUAAAAAUGCUUAUUUAUGACAAUAAAAAUUAUUCAAUUUAUUACAGUCUAUGGGGUCGCUCGAUGGACACUGAGUUUGGGUGAACUCCGGGAGUUGGUGAUGGACAGGGAGGCCUGGCGUGCCGUGAUUCGUGGGGUCGCAAAGAGUCAGACACGACUGAGCGACUGAACUGAACUGAUGGGGUCACAAGAGUCAGACAUGACCGAGCGACUAAGCGCGCGCGCACACACACACACACACACACGUAUAA
ensembl:lncRNA